rnacentral:rRNA from 1 species
AUACAGAGGGUGCAAGCGUUAAUCGGAUUUACUGGGCGUAAAGCGCGCGUAGGUGGCUAAUUAAGUCAAAUGUGAAAUCCCCGAGCUUAACUUGGGAAUUGCAUUCGAUACUGGUUAGCUAGAGUAUGGGAGAGGAUGGUAGAAUUCCAGGUGUAGCGGUGAAAUGCGUAGAGAUCUGGAGGAAUACCGAUGGCGAAGGCAACCAGCUGGCCUAAUACUGCAACGGUGUUGCGAAAGCAUGGGAAGCAAACAGGAUUAGAUACCCGGGUAGUCCAUGCCGUAAACGAUGUCUACUAGCCGUUGGGGCCCUUGAGGCUUUAGUGGCGCAGCUAACGCGAUAAGUAGACCGCCUGGGGAGUACGGUCGCAAGACUAAAACUCAAAUGAAUUGACGGGG